AUUUAACCAUUUUUCCCCGAGACAUUUCUAACAGUGAAGAUGAAAAUGUUAAUGAGUUACCAUCAUCUAUGUUUUCGCCUACGCAAAUUUUUGGCGACAAUCGUAAAAACGCCAUGUGGGCGUUGUCAACAGUUUGGCGACAAGAAUCAACGAGUCAUUUUGACUCUGACGACAUUUUACAAAACCUCACAAAGCAUGUAACGUAUACUAGGAUUUUGCCCACAUUGUUAUUUUCAGGUUGCGAUCAUCGCCUACGAAAAAUUUUAGGUGACAAUCGUAAAAACGUCAUUUUGGCGUUAUCAACAGUUUGGCGACAAGAAUCAACACGACAUUUCGACGCUAACGACAUUUUACAAAACCUCACAAAGCAUGUAACAGAUACUAGUAUUUUACCUACAUUGUUAUUUUCAGGUUACGAUCUUCUAUGUUUUCGCCUACGCAAAUUUUUGGCGACAAUCGUAAAAACGUCAUUUUGGCGUUGUCAACAGUUUGGCGACAAGAAUCAACGCGUCGUUUAGACGCUGGCGACAUUUUACAAAACCUCACAAAGGAUUUUACCCACAGUGUGUUGGGACAUUGGUAUGUGAUAAUAUUCUGAGUAUUUUGUUUUAAAAAAUUUUCUUUGUGUUUAUUGUUGGCUGGUUGGCAUAUUUUCUUUUUUUAUUUAUUUUUUUUAUUCUGUAUUGCAAUUUUAGAUUUUAAUGUACGCACGAGCUAUAGCCUAGUCAGGUCCUUCGACUGAUCGUAUAUCGGAGUUUAUUACCAAAUAAUUUCUCUCUAUGUUUAGUUUUAUUAUUGGACAGAGUAAAUAAUAGGUAGAUGCUAUGUAAAGAAUAAAGUUGAGUUCUUUUCUACGA